rnacentral:lncRNA from 1 species
CUGUGUUUGGUUCUGAUUAAUGGCUGGAUAUAGCACUAUGGAUCUGUGUUUGGUUCUUAUUAACGGCUGGAGGUAGCGCGAUGGAUCUGUGUUUGGUUCUUAUUAACGGCUGGAUGUAGCACUAUGGAUCUGUGUUUGGUUCUGAUUAACGGCUGGAUGUAGCACUAUGGAUCUGUGUUUGGUUCUGAUUAAUGCCUGGAUGUAGCGCUAUGGAUCUGUGUUUGGUUCUGAUUAAUGACUGGAUGUAGCACUAUGGAUCUGUGUUUGGUUCUGAUUAAUGGCUGGAUGUAGAACUAUGGAUCUGUGUUUGGUUCUCAUUAAUGCGCUAUGGAUCUGUGUUUGGUUCUUAUUAAUGGCUGGAUGUAGCACUAUGGAUCUGUGUUUGGUUCUGAUUAAUGACUGGAUGUAGCACUAUGGAUCUGUGUUUGGUUCUGAUUAACGGCUGGAUGUAGCACUAUGGAUCUGUGUUUGGUUCUGAUUAACGGCUGGAUGUAGCACUAUGGAUCUGUGUUUGGUUCUGAUUAACGGCUGGAUGUAGCGCUAUGGAUCUGUGUUUGGUUCUGAUUAACGGCUGGAUGUAGCACUAUGGAUCUGUGUUUGGUUCUGAUUAACGGCUGGAUGUAGCACUAUGGAUCUGUGUUUGGUUCUGAUUAACAGCUGGAUGUAGCACUAUGGAUCUGUGUUUGGUUCUGAUUAAUGGCUGGAUAUAGCGCUAUGGAUCUGUGUUUGGUUCUGAUUAAUGGCUGGAUGUAGCACUAUGGAUCUGUGUUUGGUUCUGAUUAAUGGCUGGAUGUAGCACUAUGGAUCUGUGUUUGGUUCUGAUUAAUGGCUGGAUGUAGCACUAUGGAUCUGUGUUUGGUUCUGAUUAACGGCUGGAUGUAGCACUAUGGAUCUGUGUUUGGUUCUGAUUAACGGCUGGAUGUAGCACUAUGGAUCUGUGUUUGGUUCUGAUUAAUGGCUGGAUGUAGCACUAUGGUCUGUGUUUGGUUCUGAUUAACGGCUGGAUGUAGCACUAUGGAUCUGUGUUUGGUUCUUAUUAAUAGCUGGAUGUAGCACUAUGGAUCUGUGUUUGGUUCUGAUUAAUGGCUGGAUGUAGCACUAUGGAUCUGUGUUUGGUUCUUAUUAACAGCUGGAGGUAGCGCUAUAGAUCUGUGUUUGGUUCUGAUUAAUGGCUGGAUGUAGCACUAUGGAUCUGUGUUUGGUUCUGAUUAAUGGCUGGAUGUAGCACUAUGGAUCUGUGUUUGGUUCUGAUUAAUGGCUGGAUGUAGCACUAUGGAUCUGUGUUUGGUUCUGAUUAACGGCUGGAUGUAGCACUAUGGAUCUGUGUUUGGUUCUGAUUAAUGGCUGGAUGUUGCACUAUGGAUCUGUGUUUGGUUCUGAUUAAUGGCUGGAUGUAGCACUAUGGAUCUGUGUUUGGUGCUGAUUAAUGGCUGGAUGUAGCACUAUGGAUCUGUGAUUGGUUCUGAUUAAUGGCUGGAUGUAGCGCUAUGGAUCUGUGUUUGGUUCUGAUUAAUGGCUGGAUGUAGCACUAUGGAUCUGUGUUUGGUUCUGAUUAAUGGCUGGAUGUAGCACUAUGGAUCUGUGUUUGGUUCUUAUUAACGGCUGGAUGUAGCACUAUGGAUCUGUGUUUGGUUCUGAUAAACGGCUGGAUGUAG